rnacentral:rRNA from 1 species
UAGGGAAUCUUCGGCAAUGGGGGCAACCCUGACCGAGCAACGCCGCGUGAGUGAAGAAGGUUUUCGGAUCGUAAAGCUCUGUUGUAAGAGAAGAACGAGUGUGAGAGUGGAAAGUUCACACUGUGACGGUAACUUACCAGAAAGGGACGGCUAACUACGUGCCAGCAGCCGCGGUAAUACGUAGGUCCCGAGCGUUAUCCGGAUUUAUUGGGCGUAAAGCGAGCGCAGGCGGUUAGAUAAGUCUGAAGUUAAAGGCUGUGGCUUAACCAUAGUACGCUUUGGAAACUGUUUAACUUGAGUGCAAGAGGGGAGAGUGGAAUUCCAUGUGUAGCGGUGAAAUGCGUAGAUAUAUGGAGGAACACCGGUGGCGAAAGCGGCUCUCUGGCUUGUAACUGACGCUGAGGCUCGAAAGCGUGGGGAGCAAACAGGAUUAGAUACCCUGGUAGUCCACGCCGUAAACGAUGAGUGCUAGGUGUUAGACCCUUUCCGGGGUUUAGUGCCGUAGCUAACGCAUUAAGCACUCCGCCUGGGGAGUACGACCGCAAGGUUG